UGAUCCUGGCUCAGGAUGAACGCUGGCGGCGUGCCUAACACAUGCAAGUCGAACGGGAAUCUUCGGAUUCUAGUGGCGGACGGGUGAGUAACGCGUAAGAAUCUAACUUCAGGACGGGGACAACAGUUGGAAACGACUGCUAAUACCCGAUGUGCCGCAAGGUGAAACCUAAUUGGCCUGAAGAAGAGCUUGCGUCUGAUUAGCUAGUUGGUGGGGUAAAGGCCUACCAAGGCGACGAUCAGUAGCUGGUCUGAGAGGAUGAGCAGCCACACUGGGACUGAGACACGGCCCAGACUCCUACGGGAGGCAGCAGUGGGGAAUUUUCCGCAAUGGGCGAAAGCCUGACGGAGCAACGCCGCGUGAGGGAGGAAGGUCUUUGGAUUGUAAACCUCUUUUCUCAAGGAAGAAGUUCUGACGGUACUUGAGGAAUCAGCCUCGGCUAACUCCGUGCCAGCAGCCGCGGUAAUACGGGGGAGGCAAGCGUUAUCCGGAAUUAUUGGGCGUAAAGCGUCCGCAGGUGGUCAGCCAAGUCUGCUGUCAAAUCAGGUUGCUUAACGACCUAAAGGCGGUGGAAACUGGCAGACUAGAGAGCAGUAGGGGUAGCAGGAAUUCCCAGUGUAGCGGUGAAAUGCGUAGAGAUUGGGAAGAACAUCGGUGGCGAAAGCGUGCUACUGGGCUGUAUCUGACACUCAGGGACGAAAGCUAGGGGAGCGAAAGGGAUUAGAUACCCCUGUAGUCCUAGC
rnacentral:rRNA from 1 species